AUGCCCCACUUUCCAUCCGGGCCAGGCACAGUGGACACAUGCCAUCUGCCCUACAGGGCGGGUGUCACAGCAAUGGAAGGGUCAUGCGGGUGCGAGGCUCCCGCCCUACAUGAGGCUGAGGAGGCUGCAGAGACUGCCAUGGGUCCCCACAGCCUGACGCCCUUUUCGGCCCACUCGCCGACCUGCAGGUUGACGGCGCUCAGGGCAAUAGGGUCCCCAGCCCCGGAAUCAAUUCCCUGGGUCCCGGAACGCAAACCACGCAAACUUGGACCCUGUCCGUCGCUGGCAGGAGGUUGGCAGGGCGUCGCCUUCGCAUGCACAGUAGAGAAGCCGCCUCCACCCGCAGUUCCUCCAGCGGACCCCGGCCGCCUCCUCCACGCCCCUCCCGGAGCCCCCAGACCCUCGGUGGCGCUCCGGGCCCCAUCCGCACCUUCCGCACUCUCAAAACGCCUCAACUUCUCCUUGGGGGGGGCGACUUCCUCAGCCAGCCGCUGCACAGGACAUAGCCGCCACCCAUGUUGCCGCCGGCAGGGUCACUUCCGGGUCACGAGGACUAAGCUGGACCUGCUGAACGGGGACCUGCGUGCCCUGGUGGAGCUGGACUUUGAGGUCCGGCGGGAGUACGUGCUGGUGGUGCAGGCCACGUCGGCCCUGCUGGUGAGCCAAGCCAAGGUCGAACAGCUUCCCCACCGGCGUGAUCGGCUGCAUCCCAGCCCAUGACCCCGACCUGUCGGACAGCCUCAACUACACCUUCCUUCCUGGCAACGAACUGCACCUGUUGCUACUGGACCCCACCGCGG
rnacentral:lncRNA from 13 species